rnacentral:piRNA from 1 species
AAAUAAAGAGGACUGUAAAUAUUG